AGACCCGAAACCCGGUGAUCUAGCCAUGGGCAGGUUGAAGGUUGGGUAACACUAACUGGAGGACCGAACCGACUAAUGUUGAAAAAUUAGCGGAUGACCUGUGGCUGGGGGUGAAAGGCCAAUCAAACCGGGAGAUAGCUGGUUCUCCCCGAAAGCUAUUUAGGUAGCGCCUCGUGAAUUCAUCUCCGGGGGUAGAGCACUGUUUCGGCUAGGGGGCCAUCCCGGCUUACCAACCCGAUGCAAACUGCGAAUACCGGAGAAUGUUAUCACGGGAGACACACGGCGGGUGCUAACGUCCGUCGUGAAGAGGGAAACAACCCAGACCGCCAGCUAAGGUCCCAAAGUCAUGGUUAAGUGGGAAACGAUGUGGGAAGGCCCAGACAGCCAGGAUGUUGGCUUAGAAGCAGCCAUCAUUUAAAGAAAGCGUAAUAGCUCACUGGUCGAGUCGGCCUGCGCGGAAGAUGUAACGGGGCUAAACCAUGCACCGAAGCUGCGGCAGCGAACGUAUCACCCAAGACAACUUUACGGAGUUGACGAUUGACGGAGCGAAGCGACGUCAAAGCGUUCAUUAAAGUCGAGUUGGCUUAGGGAUACGUUCGUUGGGUAGGGGAGCGUUCUGUAAGCCUGUGAAGGUGUGUCGUGAGGCAUGCUGGAGGUAUCAGAAGUGCGAAUGCUGACAUAAGUAACGAUAAAGCGGGUGAAAAGCCCGCUCGCCGGAAGACCAAGGGUUCCUGUCCAACGUUAAUCGGGGCAGGGUGAGUCGACCCCUAAGGCGAGGCCGAAAGGCGUAGUCGAUGGGAAACGGGUUAAUAUUCCCGUACUUGGUGUUACUGCGAAGGGGGGACGGAGAAGGCUAUGUUGGCCGGGCGACGGUUGUCCCGGUUUAAGCGUGUAGGUGUGUGUUCCAGGUAAAUCCGGUUCACUUUAACACUGAGGCGUGACGACGAGGCACUACGGUGCUGAAGCAACAAAUGCCCUGCUUCCAGGAAAAGCCUCUAAGCAUCAGGUAACAU
rnacentral:rRNA from 2 species